rnacentral:rRNA from 1 species
AUUUAGACCUCAAAUCAGUCAGGAUUACCCGCUGAACUUAAGCAUAUC